UACAGAGACCUCAAGCGUUAUCCGGAAUCAUUGGGCGUAAAGCGUACCGAUAGGUGGUUUUGCAAGUUUUGGGUAAAGCCAGAAGCUCAACUUCUGCGUUUGCUCAAAAUACUGCAAUACUAGAGGGACAAAGAGGUGGCUGGAACGAACGGUGUAGUAGUGAAAUGCGUUGAUAUCGUUCGGAACACCGAAAGCGAAGGCAGGCCACUGGGUGUCACCUGACACUGCUAGGACGAAAGCGUGGGGAGCGAAUGGG
rnacentral:rRNA from 1 species